GUCUCUGUCUUCCAUUUGAACAUGAUGGGACAAUGAGGCCAAGGGAUAUUAACAGACAUUUUUAAAAGGAAUUGACCACAAAAAUGUAUUGAAAGUUUAAUUCAAUCAAACAGCUAAACAGUUGAAUACUUUAUACAUUUUCCAUCUAGUAGUGAGUCUGAGGUAAGUAACCAGCAAGGUCACACCAGCAACAGCAUUGUUGUGUUGUGUGAGGGAGGCGGGUAGUGAGAGGGCAGUGACGCUGAAUAGUGCCCUCCUCCCCUCCCCAAUUCCGCCGAUUUAACGGCUGCCCACUCCUCGCUCCUGCACCGACCUCCAGGGGAAAGCGCUUUGUUACCAACCGUAUACAAAUUCUACGCGGGUUACCCAAGUCCGACUCAAUUAAAAUACAGUAGCCCCAGAGAAGUAGGUUUUGGAGAAAUAACGUGUACUGUCUCUUUAAGAUCCCUUGGCUAGUUUGCUUCGUAUUGAUCAAUCCACCAUUUUCCAACACACAGCGGCGGCAGUGGUAACACAGCGACAGCUAACCCUACCUGGAGACGCCAGGACCCGGGGCAGUCAUGGCAGCGAACAUGUACCGGGUUGGAGUCAGAGUGAUGAAGACGAUGGUGACUAUGUGAGGAGGAGGAUGGUGAUGAAGGGGAGUCUCGUAGAGCUAGGGAUCGACCCCGGGUUUUUAUUGUUUCCAUCCCGUAUCGCUAUUGUUGUUACACAAACCAAUAUGAUCGUCUUUGGUAGGCCUAACAGCAUUUGUUUUCACUAAAAUAGUUAAACCUCGAUUCGCUUUUAAAAGUAAAGUUUGGCUUGCCAGUCAGCUACCAAACGUUAGCUAGCUAGGUUGCUAACAUGUUAUUUGGCUCUGUGGAUAGAGUGAGUCAGAAUUAAAGGAAUUAGUAUUAAAUUCGUAUUCUAGCUAUCUCUGGUGCGAGUGUUAGGAGGCAGGGCAGGAUGACUACUGCUGCUCUCUGAAGUUAGCUAACUUAAAUACGGUACCUUUCAGAAUAAUUAUAAUAAAUUACAAUUUAGUCUACUCAGGUUCAGGUUGAGUUAAUUUACCUGAGAGUCUAACUAUCCAACUCACCUGGAUCUUUUAGUGUUGGGGGAUUGAUUAUAGUUAGAAGACUGAGGUCAGGUGUUCCACUCUCCUGCAAUACAUUUGAACAGGAGUUUGACAACAAAUGGGUGACUGUAUCCAGUAGGCUAACGUUAGUCAAGCCACAGUUUUUAAACCAAGCUUGUUAGCUAGUGUGAAAAUGUUUUGUUGGACUACAACUGUGUGUGUAUGUAAAGUGUUGGUUUCAUAAACGGAAAUAAAAGAUCCCAGAAAUGUUCCAUAUGCACAAAAAGCAUAUUUCUCUCAAAUUUUGUCAACAAACUUGUUUACAUUUCUUCUUUGCCAAGAUAAUCCAUCCACCUGACAGGUGUGGCAUAUCAAGAAGAUGAUUAAACAGCAUGAUCAUUACUCAGGUGCAUCUUGUGAUGGGGACAAUAAA
rnacentral:lncRNA from 8 species